GUUGUACUUCAGUGGAAGAACAUCUGCUCAACAUGCAAAAAGGUCCCAGGUUUAAUCUCUGGCAUAUCCA
rnacentral:tRNA from 1 species